rnacentral:rRNA from 1 species
AACAGCCACACUGGGACUGAGACACGGUCCAGACUCGAAAGAAAGGGGGGAGUGGGGAAUCUUGCACAAUGGGCGCAAGUCCGAUGCAGCGAUGCCGCGUGCGGGAAGAAGGCCUUAGGGUUGUAAACCGCUUUCAGGAGGGAAGAAAAUGACGGUACCUCCAGAAGAAGGUGCGGCCAACUACGUGCCAGCAGCCGCGGUGACACGUAGGCACCAAGCGUUAUCCGGAUUUAUUGGGCGUAAAGAGCUCGUAGGCGGUUUGGUAAGUCGGGUGUGAAAACUCUGGGCUCAACCCAGAGAGGCCACUCGAUACUGCUAUGACUAGAGUACGGUAGGGGAGACUGGAAUUCC